UGGUGCUAUGAAUGUGGUUGACUUAUACUGAGGAGCUAAAGAAAGAGUGGUGGAAGUAUUGAGGUGCAUUUGACGUGGAAUGGAUUUUGAGGCAUGCUGUGGUGCAUCAACAACAGUUGGAAACUGACUUUGCAAUUUUGGUGGAAUACUCAAGGUAUUUGCAAGGUCAAAAGUGGGGAACGGAGGUGGAGGCAGCCCACUGGCCCAAACUCGGUACAUUUUCAUCAUUUGUUGUCUCAGUCUCAAAUUUCCUUCCUUUAAACUCUCAAUUUUCUGACUCUUUGUUUCAUACGUGGUGUCACUCUCUAUAUCCUUGUUGGACACAACUAAACCUUUCUUGGAUUUGCUGUGAUAUGGAGGACCAGCCAGGAAGCCACAAACCAACCACCUUAAACUAACUGAACAAGAGACAACAAAUAUGUUAGAGGUCAACAUUUUUCAAAACCUCUCUUUUUUUUUUUAAAAGAUCACCGAACCCAAGAAGGGCGCCUACGUAUCUCACUCCCGAGAGAGGAGAAUCAGGUGUGCAUAGUUCGUGAAGUCUUGCCAAAAUGGCCAAUUAAACUCUUUUCCUUUUUCUUUUUUUUUUCUUUAAAUUUUAAGAAGAAAAGAAAAAUGACAAAUUGUCAAAAGAAUAGACAACAUUUUUUUUUGAAAUUUUUAGUUUUAAUAACCUAUACAAAAUGAAACCUAUGAUUAUCAAAGAAACUCUUUUUUUGGGUUUUCAAUUUUGCAUUUCAUACGAAAAUGAAACUUGAACCUAUUAAAGGAAUUUUUUUUUGUAGUUUUCUUUUAUUGAUGCAUAGACACCUACUCUAAAUGAAGCGUGAAAAAAAUAUUUUUUUGAAUUUUUUGAAAUAAGAUCCCCGAACCAACAAUAGCCUUUCUACGUAUCUUACUCCGGAAAGAGGAGAAUCAGGGGUGCGUAGUUCGUCCAGAUUGGACAAUUAAGGAUUACUUAACAAACUACACCAAACUUGAGAGACACAACCAAAGACUAACGAUGAAAAAUGUCAAUAAAAUCUUUUUUGGAGUUUUCAGCUUGACACUUCAAAUAAAAAUGACACCAACAAUUAUAAAAUGAAAAAAAUCUUUUUGGUAUUUUCAUUACAAUGAAAUGUACAAAUUUCUACCAUUUUUUGCAUUUUCUUUUAUAAAAACUGCUAAAAAAUCUUUUUUAAAAAUUACGAAUUAUGAAUGCAUGCUAAAAGAGACAAAGUGAGAAAUUUUUUUUGAUGUUUUGAUUUUUGAACAAAUGAGUGCAGAAAAUAAAAAAUCUUUUUGAAUUUUUGAAUUGUGAAAAACAAAGGCCAUAAGGAACUCUAAAACUACAAAACUCUUUUUUUUUCUUUUCGACUCACUUUUCUUCCUUCUUUUUUUUUCAACAAUUUCUUGCCUACACACUUUGCUUCUAACUUAUGCUUUUGCCCAAAUCAAUCUGUCAAAUGAUCUCAUUACCCUCAAAGAUGCAACAUUUAGCAUGUAGGGAUGCCUUAGAGGUGAAUUUCCUACAAAGGACCAAGUGGGUCCUGCUAGGUCUCCAAUAUGAUACACCUAAGCAUGACCUAAAGGCCGACCUACGUUGGGGUUCACUAACAAGGCUGUUCGGGGGAGCGUAUGGUCGAUAGUGGCUUUUUUGCUUUCCACCUACUCCAUAACACCAACGGCUCNNNNNNNNNNNNNNNNNNNNNNNNNNNNNNNNNNNGUCGUCUAUAACACGUGUACUACGGACUUGUUGCAGAAAGAAUAACUCAGGUUAUACACAUGAUGCCAGAUAUAAAGCAGUAACACAUAAGAUAAAACUGUAAACAAAAAGCACGUAGACACUCAACAAUGAUAAACAAUAACACAAAACAACACAAACAAUGUCUAUACACCCAUAAUAUCAAACAAAGCUGAUACAACUCAAAAAAAUUAGCUCAAAUUCUGAAAAUCCCUAGCAGAGUCGCCAGAGCUGUCAUACCCCUUUUUCAACUCCAAAAGAAUUAUUUUUAUGGGCUUCGAAAGGGUUUUCAUUAUUAAAGUGACAAAAUGAAGAUAAUUUGUUUCGUAAAGGACCUUUUACAUUCAAAACUCAGAGCGCCACUUGGCAUAAUCUGGUGUGCCAAGUCACUAUUGGAAAAUCCUUUUCAAAACCAUUUGACUCUUUAAAAUGGUUUGCGAACAGAGAUUUCGGCUAAGGAAUUCUGUUGACCGAGGGGAAGGUGUUAGGCACCCCUCGAUCCCGUGGUUCGACCAUGGUCGCUUGGUGGAGCGUAUCGACUAAUUUUGACACUACGAAUGUACAAACCACACAAAACACGUAAAACAAUCAAACAAACAAACAAAACAAAACAAAAAAAUGAUUCAAAAGUACAGCGUCCUGUCCAAUUUUUACAGUCCAAAAUAGAAAAAUGCAAAAAUAAAUCUUAUCUAACCUACACUAAUACUAACUACGCUCCCGUGCUUUACCCGACGAUUCAGGCCUUCCUCACGAACGUCUUCCGCUAACAUAGUACGUCGGGGCAUUCCCCAGUGAAUAAAUACAUUGUGUCUCGGGGCAUUCCCCGGCUAACUAAAUACAUUUGAAUUAAACAUGAUAAACUAGAAACCAAACAUUCACACGCACAUUAAACAUUCAACACAUUUAAUAAACACAUCACUCCUAAGUUUUGCCUACCCAAACCGACAUUUGCCUAUCCAUUUCAACAUAUUAUAAUUCUAUCACAUUCCAACAAUAUUCAUGCUCAUUACGAAUUAAACAAAACAACAAUAAACCAAAGUUAAUCUAAAUUCAAUUUUUUAUCAAUUUCUCAAUUCCAUCCCCAAACAAUCAAUUUCAAUUCUCAAACGAGAUACCAUUUCACCAAAACAUAAUCAAGCAAACCAACCACGAGUCAAAAUAAACACGCAUUCAUCACCAACAAGGACCAAAUAACACGCAAUAUUCAAUCCAACAUCAAAUAUAAUAAAUAAUGAAAUAAAAAGAGAAACAGAGUAGAAUUGGACCUCAAUUUGAAGCUUUCAAACUCAAUGUAAUUCGAAUAAAGAGAGUCCGCACCCGAAAACCUCGAGCCGAACCUUAACACCAACAAUCCAACUCGACAAUGUGAAAUAAUGACCCAUUCACCGUCACUGUUCAUUGACAUUGUUCAUGUCGUUACUGUUCACGUCGUUAUUGUUCACUCCGUUACUGUUCACUUCAUUACUGUUCACUUCGUUACUGUUCACACUAUUACUGUUCACCAACACUGUUUACGCCGGAUUCCCAUUGUCCAGACCCUUUUUCUCUCUCAAUUUUUUUUCUCUUGCGCGAUUCUCUCUUUCUCUCCCUCAUUUUUUUUUUGUUCUUGUGAGAAAGAUGAUUUGGUGAUUGUUGUUAUUGUAGAGAAAAUGAUGAUGAAAGAAUGAGCCUCCCCCUUUUUCCCUUUUAGAAUUUUUCUUUUAUAUUUUUUAUUUGAUUUUUCUUUUCCUUUUUUUAUUAUCCUAUGUGGAAGCAUAUAAUUGGUGGCUUGUGGGAAUAAGUGUGUGGCAUGUGGGAAAGUUAGUGUGGCAUGUGGAAAGAUGAGGGUGGCGUGUGGAAAAAUGAGUAGGGCGUGUGCCUUUUGCAUGUAUCCAAUGAAAAAUGGCAAGUUAGGUGUUGAGGUGACAUAGUGAGGUGACAAAGAUGCUAUGUAUUUAAUUAUUUUCAAUUCUUUUUUUUUUGGGAGAAAUUAUCAAUUAAACAAAAGUACGGUAAGGUGAAUAAAAUAAAAAUUAAAAUUAAAAAUUAAAAAAAUAAAAUAAAAUAAAAAAGAUGAAAAUAUUUUCAGAAAAGGACAAAAUUACGUAUCUACAGACAUGACUCAAAAUAAAAGGUUUGAAGGUCGAAAAUUAUAUUAAGGUUGACAAGUAGCAGGCUAAAGUGUAUCUAUCUGUUCCUUUAUUAGUACUACUAGUCAAGCAUACGUGCGUUGCACGUGUGUUUCAUGUCAAGCCAUCAAUUAUAUAGAAACUACAACAAAAUAAUUGAUAAUUGAAAUAUUAGAACAAUACAAUUAAGUUUGAUCUUUGGUGAUUUGUAAACAACAUCUUUAAAGCUCAUCAAAAAACUAGUUAUAAAAAUAUUUGUUCCACCAAAUUUACCUUGUAAAUGCUUUUAUAUUAUUAUAGAAAGAAAGAGUCCUCAAUUUGUAGAAGUUCAAACUAUCGUCCAAAAAAAAUUAACUAAUAUGAAACAUUUUUAUCUGGGGUGCACUCAUAAAAUUUUUCUAAUAAUAUUAUAAUAUAAAAAUAAUAAAGAUACCCAAAUAUAGCAAAAAUCCUGCACGUCUGAACAAUAAUAUACUAUUAAUAUUUUUUAUUAUGUCAAAAAAAAAUAGAGGCCUAAUACUAUCAAAUUUUGAAGCAAAAAAAAUUUCGGGCUUUAGUUAUUUUCCUUGUUUUAAUUUAUUAAAAAAAAGGCUGCUAUUAAAUUUUGUUAUUUUAAUUUUGAUAAAAAUCAUCUUAUUUUUCUUUUUUUUCCUCUUAUUUUGUAUUUAGGAAUCCUUUCUCAAGUACACAAGAAGAAAAAAAAACUCAUCAAUAAUAAAUUUUCUUAUAUUUUUUCUUACCGUAUAUUUUAGGAUUUCUUUAUUUAUUAUAAAUAUAAUAAUAUAAUGAUUGAAUAAAAUAAGUGAAAAGACAAUUUUAUCUAUUGUGGAGAUUUUUAAUGAAGGGUAAAAAAUUCAAAUCACUUUUCUAAGGGUCUUUACACUUUUAUUAUAGUAUAGAUUAUAGAUAUAGAUAAUAAAUUAUAGAUAUAGAUAGAGAUUAUAGAUAUAGAUAUUGCGGAAAUUUUUAAUGAAGGGUAAAAAAUUUUAAUAUCUUCACAUUUUUAAUAUAUUAUUAUUAUUAUAGAUAUAGAUGCUUUCGAUUUUAUUACUACGGUUAUUUCUUUUACUAUGAUUAUAUUUAUAUUUGUACUUUUUAUAUUUUUCUUUCUUUAAUAUUUUCCUUAUGCAUAGUACUAUAUAAUUGGAUAAUUCUUAAUUUAGAUGUGAUAUUUUGUGGAUCAGAAUUUGUUGGGUCUUAGGACACGUUUGGUUCAUGUUAUAAUUAUAUUAUACUGUUUUUUUUAUAUAUAAGGGGGUUACAUAAAUUUUGUCUAUUUUAUCUAUCAAUUUUUUGUUUUUUCAGAUGAAUCAAAUUGCUCCACCUAACUAUUGUAUUGCCUUUUGUCUAUUUUAGCUUUUAUACUAAUUUUUUUUUUUAAAGAAAGUUCAAUGUGAGCCUCUGUCAUUGGUAUAUUGACGUUGCAGUAAUUUUGUGGGUCUUUUUUUUUUUUCACUUACUUUAGGUGGUCCUCUUUAGAUAGAUUUACUUUACGUGUUUUCAUAAAAAUUGAAUAUCUGCAUAUUUGACUUAAAAUAAAUUCAAAAUUUUUAUAUGAGCUGAAUUAGGCGGGUCAAAUGAAGUAUAGCACACAAAUAACUAUUAUAUUACCUUUUGUCUAUUUCAUCUUUUACACUAAAUUUCUUUUUUAAGAAAGUUCAUUCAAACGUGAACCUCUGUCAUUGAUAUAUUGACGCUGUAGUAAUUUUUGUGGGUCUUUUUUUUUUUCACUUACUUUAGAUGGUCUUCUUUGGAUAGAUUUACUUGAAGUGUUUUUAUCAAAAUCGGAUAUCUGUACACUUGACUUAAAGUAAAUUUAAAUUUUUUAUUAGAAUUGAUUUAGACGGAUCAAAUGGAGUAAAGCACACGAAUAACUAUUAUAUUGCCUUUUGUCUUUUUAGCUUUUACACUAAUUUUUUUUUUUUAAAAAAGUUCAUUCAAACGUGAGCCUCUAUCAUUGGUAUAUUGACGAUGUAGAAAUUUUUGUGUGUCUUUUUUCUUCGCUUACUUUAGAUGGUCCUCUUUGAAUAGAUUUACUUGAAGUGUUUUUAUCAAAAUCGGAUAACUGUACACUUGACUCAAAGUAAAUUUAAAUUUUUUAUUAGAAUUGAUUUAAACAGGUCAAAUGGAACAAAGCACACGAAUAAUUAUUAUAUUCCCUUUUUUCUUUUUUAGCUUUUACACUAAUUUUUUUUUUUUUUUAAGAAAGUUCAUUCAAACUUGAACCUCUAUCAUUGAUAUAUUUACAUUGCGGUCAUUUUUGUGGGUCAUUAUUUUCACUUAGUCUAAGUGAUCCUCUUUGAAUAGAUUUAUCAAAAUCUAAUAUUCAUGCACUUACUAUAAGUGGUAUAUAUAUUGACAUUGUAGUCAUUUUUGUGGGUCAUUUUUUUUUUUCACUUUUUCUAAGUGGUCCUCUUUGGAUAGAUUUAUUUUAGGUGUUUUUAUCAAAACCGAAUAUCUAUGCUUUAUCAAAAUCGAAUAUCUAUGCACUUACUCUAAGUGGUUUAUAUAUUGACAUCGUAAUCAUUUUUGUGGGUCUUUUUUUUUUCCACUUACUCUAUGUGGUGCUUUUUAAAUAGAUUUAUUUUAGGUGUUUUUAUUAAAAUCGAAUAAUUUAUGCACUUGACUUUAAAUAAAUUCAAAUUUUUUAUAUAUGCUGAAUUGGACGGGUCAAAUGGGACAAAGCACUCAAAUAACCUACUUUUGGGGUCAUCAUUUAACUUGUAUUCGUUUAUUAGAAUUUUUACAAGUUUAGCCACUUUAGAAAUAAUUUCAAAUGUACUUGACUGAAAUUAAAAAUUUGUGUCUGACUUCAGAAAUUUGUUUGAAGUUUUGCCGGCUUUAUGAGGAUGAAAUAUAAUUAAGAUAUUUUUGUCUGAAGUUUGGAAUGGCUUGUAAGGCUGAUUUCGUAUAUUUUUAAUAUAAGUUGUGGAUUUGACAAGGCCUAAUUCAGAUAUAUUUUAGCGAAGCCUUAUCUGGCUUGACAAGUCUUAACAUCAAUUUUUUUUUUUUUCUGAAGAUAUGGUCUUGACAAGGUCAACUUUUAGAUAUUUUUUAUUAAAGUUGUUAGGAGGGUGAAACUUCAAUCAUACAUGACUGAUGUGAAUGUUAAAAACUAAAAAUUAUUUAAAGUUAAACUUCAAUCGAGUAUAUCUAAAACUCUGAAUAUUUUUCUCAUUGGCGCUCUUCUAUUUAUGAAUUGGCGUGAUAUGCAAACGAAGAAAAUUGAAUUACAGAUGUGAAGGUAAAAUAGAAAGUACAGAUCUAACAAAUUUAAUAGUUUUAGUUCAAAUUUUAUAUUUUCGUUAUAUAUAUAUAUAUUAAUUUAAAACCUAAAAACUCCAAAGGUUUAGAAUCUAAAAUUCAUAAAAUUUCAAAUUUUGAAUUCUUUUUCUUUUAUUGAAGUCAUUGAUGACAUCAAGAAUAAUAAAAUAAAACGUGUCCUUUUAAGGUUUCUUUUUCACUUUUCCUUUCCAAAAAUGCUUGUUUAACAUCAACAUUUAUAUCUAGCUAUAUAUAUAUAUAUAUACAAGAACAUGCAUGUGUGAAGAAAAUUAAACAUUAUUAAUUAUCAUUAUUAUCCAAAAUGGCAACAUCAUUCCCUAUGAAUGCUGGUGAUGGUCCUUAUAGCUACUCAAAAAACUCCCAUUUGCAGGUAAUUGUUUCUACUUUUAAGGGAUCGUUUGGUAGAGUGCGUAAAAAUAGGGUUGAAUAUGGUGUAUUAGUAAUGUUGAUAUUAGUAAUAUCGAUGUUUCUUUAUUUGUGUAAUCGGGUAGAGGGUUAGGGGUGGGAGCGUUUCUUUAUUUGUGUUUGACGUUUCUUGUUCGUGGGUGUUGAGUGAUGUCUAUGUUUUCGGUUAGAUAGUCUUUUAGCAGUAUCUAGUGGCUGUUGUGUUACCUUGUGGAUACCGGUGUUAGUUUAUUUUGCAUAUUCUACUAAUCUAUACGCAUUUAUAUUUUGUGAUUUGCUAUACUGUUAUCGGUCCUAAGCCGGAGGUCUAUCGGAAACAGCCUCUCUACUUCUUCGAAGGUAGUGGUAUGGUCUGCGUACACUCUACCCUCCCUAGACCCUACUAUGUGGGAAUAAACUGGAUAUGUUGUUGUAGUAUGCACUGUUUGGUUCGGAAUAUUAAAAGUAACAUACAUUGUAUAGGUAUAAUAUAUGAACGUGUCCUUUAACUUGACUUCAACAGGGAUAAUCUAACACCAUCCAACUUUGGGUAUGCACAAGUAGACACUUAGGGGUCGUUCGGUGGGAGGGAUAAGGAUAAAUAAUCUCUCGAUUAAUUUAGAAGAGGAGCUUAUUCCAUGUUUGGUUGGGACAAAAUACAUGGGCGUUAACUCAUCCCAGGAUUAAUCAUCCCGAUAUUGUAAUGUUUUUUCUUAUUCCUUCAUGAGGAUGGGAUAACUAAUUUCGGGAUUAGUAAUCCAGGGAUAACUUGUUUUCCAACCAAACGACCCCUUAAAGUUGUAGGCACAAUUAAAAAAGUACCCCAAACAAGGUAUUAAUAUACCCAUAGCUGAUGAAUGCAGGAUUUUUUUCUAAUGCAUCCGACCAAACGAUCCCUAAGUAUUUACUCUAAAUACUUAUCUUUUCCAUAGAUCCCAAACUCAAGAUAAAAGUAUUUGAAAAAAAAAGAGCAAACAACAUAAAUCCCGACAGUUUUGAGCUUAAUUACAGAAAAUUCUAACAUUUUACAUAAUUACUGAAAAUUCUGAUUUUGAGUCUUUCAAGAUACAUAAUUAGCUCCUGAUACAUCUAACGAAAAUACAUUUUUUUUACUUUGUAAAGAUACAUAAUUAGCUUCAGAUACUUUUUUUUUUUCAAUUUUGAAUCUGUCAACAUACAUAAUUAGUUCUCUGAUACAUUCAACGAACAUACAUAAUUAGUUGAGAUUUUUUGUAAUUACUUUAUAAAGAUGAAAAAUUGUGUAAAUAUGAUAAGUUAAAGGUGUAUAUAUCUUUUGGUAUACCUCAUCUAGUAUACAUGCAUAACUUUAUACCGAAAAAUAAUUUUUGGUGUCAUACUAAAGUAACUGAACUUUUUCAUCUAUAAUAAUAGAAUCACUAAACUUUACUGUCAAAUGUGACUUUACUGUUAUAAUUGCAUGCAGAAAGAACUGUUAGAUAGUGCAAAAGACAUCAAAAUCAUGUCUUCUUCUUCAAAUACAUUACACAUUGCAGAUUUGGGAUGUUCAGUUGGACCAAACACUUUCAUUGCAAUGCAACAUGUUGUACAAGUUCUAAGAGCUGUUUUAGAAGUACUUUUCGUCAAUCAUUUUGGAAGUGAAAUAGCAGAAGAAGCUUUUACAAGGACGAUUCUCAAAAGUGAUGAAAUUUCAAUAUGGAUGAAAACGAAUUACCAGAAAGCAUGUCAGUUAUUUGUCGCUUUGAAGCGUAAAUAAGUUUCUGUGAAGAAAUCUAUAUAGUAUAUAAUUUCAGGUCUAUUGAGUGAUGUGACACGUUUCAUAGACAGAAAUUAUUAUUUGUGUGUUUUCUAAUAUUUUUGACCUUUUCAUCGUAUCUUUCACUUAAUGUGUUCUACAAAGAAAAUUGAAAAGUUUAUUUAUUAAUGUUUUAGAUAUCCUUAGCAGUUUAGUUUUAUUAACCCAUUUUACUCCAAUUGUCAAUAUAUGAUAUAAUUCAGGUCUAUGGAGAGAUAAUUAUGGCAAGUUUCACCAACAUGGGUUGUGGUGCAGUGGAUGAGGCUGCUCUACCCUUAACCAGAGGUCGAGGGUUCGACCCUGGGUAUGGAGAAAACUCUGUUGGGAGCGCUGCCACCUUAAUGUGCCCUUCAACGCACGAUCCAAAUUAGUCGAGGCUCCAAUGGAGGCACCAAACAUCGGAUGGGAAACCAAAAAAAAAACUAUGGCACGUUUCAUAUGUCUCGAAUAUCAAAAAAUAGAUAAAUAAAAAUAUUUCAAUAACGAAAUUCUAGAACAUAAAAUAAUAUUAUCAAAUUGGACAAAUAUUAUUGCGCAUUUUUAUUUUUAAUAACAUAAAUAAGUAAAUAUGAACGGACAGAAUAACAUAAUUAAUUGGGCCAAUGCUUGCCAAUAUUUCUAUAAAAUCAACAUUGAUUGGGACGAUUAAACACAUACAUAUAUAGAAACUAUAUUAUUGAGGUACCUUUUGCCACUAUAUUAUUUCUAUAAUAUAUAUAAGAGGGAGGUUGGGUGCUGAAGCAGAUCGACAUGCCUGCUUCAGCAGUCAGCUUCAGCUGCUUCAACCGUGUUUUUAUAAAUAAUUCUCUUAUUUAUAAGAGGCAGUUGAGCAGCUGAAGCAGGCAGGAGGUCGAUAUGCCUACUUCAGCUGCUUCACCUGUAAUUUUACUAUAUCACCCCUCAAUUAAUUAUUAUAAAUUAUCUAUGUAUUAAAAAAUUAAUAAUAUUUAAUAAAAAAUUAAAAUAGACAUUUAUGAUAUAUCUGCUUCAGCCGGUUCUGUCACACCCCUUUUUUAACCGAAAAAAAGAUUAUGUAUUGGGUUCGAAAGGGUUUUUAUUAUUAAGUGACAAAAGAAAACAAUUUGUUUCGAAGAAGGAUUGUUUUUACAUUUGAAAUCAGAGUCUCCACUUGGCAUAAUCUGGUGUGCCAAGUCACCAUUGGAAAGUCCUUUUCAAAACCAUUUGACUCUUUAAACUGGUUUGCGAACAGAGAUUCCGGCUAAGGAAUUCUGUUGACCAAGGGGAAGGUGUUAGGCACCCCUCGAUCCCGUGGUUCAACCAUGGUCGCUUGGUGGAACAUAUCGACUAAUUCGACGCUAAGAGUGUAUAAACCACACAAAAACAUACAAACCAAUCAAUCAAACAAACAAACAAACAAACAAACAAAUCCAAAAUUAUAGUGUUCAGUCCAAUUAUUACAAUCCAAAAAUAGAAAAAUACGAAAAAUAUAAAUCCUAUUCUAAGCUAGUCCUAGACUAAGCUCCAAUGUUUCACCCGAUGCCUCGGGCCUUGAUCGAUAUCCGCCUUCGCCAACAUGAUACGUCGGGGCAUUCCCCUGUGAAUAAAUACAUCAAUCUUCGGGGCAUUCUCCGGCCAAAUUAAUACACUUCAAUCCAAAAACAUAAACCAACACAUUUCAACAAAACACCCUCAAGUUUCAACGAUCGCAAGUCAUAAACUUUGCCUAACCCACUUAUAUUUGCCUAUCAAUGGUCGACCUAAACAUGAUACUACCAUUUUUCAACAACAUCUAUGCUUAUUCCGAACUAGACUACAUAUCACGUUCAAUGUCAACGAUUAAUUAAAACAACAAUAUUCAUUUUUAUCAACUUUCAAUUCCCGUUUUGCCCAAUUCCAUUGUCAAACUAGCUAACCAACUCUUCGACUAUCAAAUCCAACAUCAACCACGUACACACAACAAAGAUUCAAAUAUGCUAACCAAACAAGUUAUUCACACCCAUAACAAACAACUAAAAUUCAAAAAUAGAAUAGAGAAUGAGAUGAGAAAUGGACCUCAAUGCUUUAUUGAUUAACUGAUCUUUCCGAAUAGAACCGCGUCCAACGGAACUCAACGUCGAACCUCAAAACGACGGAACCGCAUCUCGGACUAGCCUCGGUAUGAACCCACAACUUGAACAAAAAUCCAAACCAGAGUCGAAUGCCGACCACCAGAAUCCAAACCCAAUUUCCGGUAGAAAACUGAAAACGCGUAUAAAAUUGAACCCUGAUGAGCUACCAGCUAGAUUUCAUCCAGAAAUCAAGAAGACCGAGAAGAUCUAGGGAAUUUUAGGAUGGAUCAGGCCGAGACGAUAAGCUUGACGUCAAUUUCAGUGAGAUUUCACCGAAAUCCAAAGAGAAACGAUCGAACGAGGAAUGGAAAACUAAUUCCGACGAGCUAAGUCGCCGAAACAGUGACCAACGACUUGAAAUCUUCACUCUCUCUCUUGAUUUUUCACCCUCUCUACUUGAUCAAUCCCUUACCCCACUGUAUCUUGCGAAAAAAAUAAAGAACAGAAGAAAAGAAAUGGUAUUUUUCUCUUUCUCGUUCUCUCUCUGCUACUCUCUCUCUUAUCGAUCUAUUCUCUUUUCUCUGUGUUUGUGUCUAUGAGAUGCUGUGAGGUGUGUGGUCCUUGUGGGAGUAAUGAUGGGUUUGCGAUGGAGAAGAAAAGGAGAGGAUAAUCUGCUCUCAAAAAUGGCAUUUUUGAAGCCAGACCCAGGAAGGAAAAAAAUAGUUCUUUUCGGGAGUUAAAGAAUGAUGAUAAUGGGUGUGAUUAUCAUCCCGUGGAUGUUCUAUUGUAUGAAUUCUAUGCAUUCUCCAUGGAUGAAUCCAAAAUGGAAUCCCUGUGUGCAUUGUAUAUAAUGAAAAAAAGAAUUCCCCCUUCUAUUCUGGGUGUGUAUGGAAUAUAUGUAUAUUGUGUAGGUGAUGUGUAAAUGAUGGUCAAGAAGAUAUAACGUAGGGCCCUCCAUUUUUGUUGUUUUCUUCUCCAAGGGAUAAAAAAUGUGAGUGGGUAGUGAGGUGGAAGCUUUUGAUUGGGUAGGUUGUUAGGAUAAGAUAAAUUAGUUAGAGGUAUUUUUUUUGUUUAUUUUUAUAUUUUUAUGGGAUAUAAUUACAUGGGGUUGGAAACAUGGUAAGGUGAACUAAAAAUGAAUAAAAUUAGACUUCGGGAGGGAUAAAAUUAGGUGUCUACAUCAUGCCCCUUUUGAAUGUAAACACGAACUGUUUUCAGACAAAGAAGUAUACAGCGAGAUCAAAUUUUGACCCGACCAUUAUCCAAAGAAAGAAACAAAAGGAAGAAGGACAACCGGGUCUUGACUUAAGACAUCCUACCUACCCAAGUUAUGAGAGAAUCAAGUCACGGGUAUUUCAUAAGAUUGGAAAGAGAUGGACUAUACCAAGUUGGAGAGUCGAGUGAGGUUCCAUCGAGGUUCUGGUCCACGGCUCUGUCAUUACAUUAAAAAUGAAAAUUACAAGUUAAAGCAUAAAUGAAAUUACAAAAAUCCUAUUUCAUUAACUUAUUGCCAUGCUUUCAACUUCUUCACCCUGUUCUGCAAGCGGGCUCCUGACUUGCUAUUUUUCAAUCUGUUUAACUUUCAAUUUCUUCACCUUGUUGCUUAAUUUUUCAUUUAUUCGCUCUGUGCUUCGGGCAGGCUCCUGAAAUCACAUCAAAACUAAAAAGAAAAUUAUCCCAAACAAAUAUUAUUAUAAAGAGAAAUUCCGUUUGCCAGAAAACUAAAGUUUCAAAAACAGAAAUUAAAUUUUUUUUUCCAAGUUUAUCAUCAGAAGACUUUUGGAAAAGUCACAUCAUACUUACUUGCAUGUUACAAUGAUAAAUCAAGACUCUGACCAAGAAAUGCAUCGCUUGAGAGUAAAAUUGAAUAACCAAGACUAGGAAGUGCGUCUCCUAAGAAUUAAAGUGAGGGAUUCUAACUAGAAAGUGCGUCUUCUAGAGAUACAAGUUUAAGUUAAAAAGUGUGCCACCUGACAAAUGAAAACUAGCAAAAAAGUGCAUCUCCAAAGGAUUAAGUGCAAUAAAUUGACUAGAAAGUUCAUUUUCUAGAAAUCAAGGGGACUGCUAGGAAGUGCAUUACGCAAAAGCAAAGUUCGAAUUACCCGAUCAAAGAAAUGUAUCUCCUUACCAAUGUUGCUUGAAUAAUCAAAAUAAGGAAGUGCAUCUCCUUACCAAUGCCACUUGAAUUACCAAACCAAGGAAGUGCGUCUCUUUACCAAUGCCACUUGAAUUACUCAAACAAGGAAGUGCGUCUUCUCACAAAUGUUUCUUGAAUUAACCAAACAAGGAAGUGCAUCUCCUUACAAAUGUUGCUUAAAUUGCCCAAGGAAGGAAGUGUGUCUCCAAUGUUGCUUGAAUUACCAAAACAAGAAAGUGCGUCUCCUUUGGAAGUGUGUCUCCUUACGAUAGCGCUUGAAUUACCAAAAUAAGGAAGUGUGUCUCUUUACAAAUGUUGCUUGAAUUGUCCAAACAAGGAAGUGCAUCCCCUUGCAAAUGUUGCUGGAAUUACCCAAACAAGAAAGCGCGUCUCCUCACAAAUGUUGCUGGAAUUACCAAACAAGGAAGUGUGUCUCCUUACAAAUGUCAAUCAAAUUACCAAACAAGGAAGUGAGUCUCCUUACAAAUGUUGCUUAAAUUAUCAAACAAGAAAGUGCGUCUCCUUACAAAUGUUGCUUAAAUUAUCAAAACAAGGAAGUGCAUCUCCUUACCAAUACCGCUUGAAUUACCAAACCAAGGAAGUGCGUCUCCUUACCAAUGCCGCUUGAAUUAUUCAAACAACGAAGUGCGUCUCCUCACAAAUAUUUUUUGAAUUAACCAAACAAGGAAGUGCAUCUCCUUACAAAUGUUGCUUGAAUUGUCCAAACAAGGAAGUGCGUCCCCUUACAAAUGUUGCUGGAAUUACCCAAACAAGGAAGUGCGUCUCCUAACAAAUGUUACUGGAAUUACCCGAACAAGGAAGUGCGUCUCCUUACAAAUGUCAAUCAAAUUACCAAACAAGGAAGUGCAUCUCCUUACAAAUGUUGCUUGAAUUGUCCAAACAAGGAAGUGCGUCCCCUUACAAAUGUUGCUGGAAUUACCCAAACAAGGAAGUGCGUCUCCUAACAAAUGUUACUGGAAUUACCCGAACAAGGAAGUGCGUCUCCUUACAAAUGUCAAUCAAAUUACCAAACAAGGAAGUGCAUCUCCUUAUAAAUGUUGCUUGAAUUUUCCACACAAGGAAGUGCAUCUCCUUACAAAUACCGCUUGAAUUACCAAACAAGAAAGUGUGUUUCCUCACAAAUGUUGCUGGAUUUACCAAAUAAGGAAGUGCGUUUCCUUACAAAUAUUGCUGGAAUUACCCAAACAAGGAAGUGCGUCUCUUUACAAAUGUUGCUAGAAUUACCAAAACAAGAAAAUGUGUCUCCUUACAAAUGUCGCUUGAAUUACCAUGAGUUUGAAUACCAAAUAUGUGCAGCAACAUUACCUCUUGCAUUUGUAGAAGUGAGAAUAUUACGGCCCUUGAUAUUUAGGCUUUGAAAUCCUUGAUUCGAAGGUAGCAUGUGUUCCUAUUUCAUACAAAGAAAACUUGUUAGUUUAAAAAUAUGGUGGUUGGUUUGUGGCUUAGCUUUCACGGCAAUCGCUUUUGCCCCCUUCACAUUUAACCUUGCUUCCAACCAUUAACAUAGGAUGUUGACUUACUGUAUCAUUGACCCAAACUCAAAUUAUUAAGAGUGACUCUGAAACAAACACAGUAUCUCUGCUUUGCCAUGCUCCUCAAAUAAACCCUUUGAAUCUUAGUAUUUUCAUAAAUUCCCAGACUUGUUUGUUGACAAAAUUUGUAUGCCUUAUUUAGGCUAACAAUCAUGUCUCUUUUAUGUGCUGACUUUUGUCUUGCUUUGUGCAAUUGGAGAAGCUGGUAGCAGUUUUGAAAUAUUUCCUCACUUGUUUUGAUAAGAACUUGACUCAAAGACAAGAAAAAAAAUGACAGUGAUUUUUAUUUGGACAACUGACCCAAGAAAAAUAAAAAUAAAAAUAUAAAGAAGAAAGAAAAGACAAUGAAUGUCCCCAUUUGAAACAAAGAAAUUAAAAAUUUAUCUAAAAAUGACUGUCAACUCUAAUGAUUAUGCCAUGCAUGUUGAAUUAAUCUGCCUGAUCUUUCCAUCCACACCUUCCACCAGUUGUUGUUGGGUUAAUGGUCUUGAAACUGAGUUGUUUCCUUGGGCCAAUUACAUUCGGAGACCUCAUUCGGCUAGUGGCACCUUGAAGGGUUUUCACCAACAAACCUCUCUUAUUUUUCUCUCAUCUCGCCAUCGUCUUAUGGUGCCCGUGAGGGUUUUCACCAAUAAGACUCUCUCAUUUUUAUUUCUCUCAACUUACCAUCGCCUUACGGUGCCCGUGAGAGUUUUCACCAAUAAGACUCUCACUUUUAUUUCUCUCUUAAUUCCUUGUGCUGAGGAAGACAGGUAGUUCCCAAAUACAUCAUCAUAUCUCUUGCAUGCUUUGCCUUAACAUCCCUAAAGAUUGAUCUGAAGGUCUUUCUUUGGUUGUAACUUGNNNNNNNNNNNNNNNNNNNNNNNNNNNNNNNNNNNNNNNNNNNNNNNNNNNNNNNNNNNNNNNNNNNNNNNNNNNNNNNNNNNNNNNNNNNNNNNNNNNNNNNNNNNNNNNNNNNNNUUUUAUUCGCUCUUUUCACUUUGCGAUUCUUUUUUUCUAACUCUAUUUUUCUUGACACUUUUUUUUGAAACAUUUUUGUCUCUUUUUUGUAACUUUUUUACUUUAUCUUUUUACUCGACACUAUUCUUUAAACUUUGCUUACUCUAUCUUGACAUGAAAGAAAAUAACACUAAGGCUCAAAUGGGGUAAACAAAGGAUGACACAAUGUUUGGAUAGCAGAAUGAAAUGCCUUCAUCGUAUCAAUCCUUGAGAAUGCAAGUACAUAACAUGCAAUUGGAAGUGAGAGAUGAAGAUCAUUUUCGACAUCUUUUCAAGAAGAUUGAGUCUGUGCGUCACUACUUUUUCUGUAAACUCCACCUUUGUUGUACAUUCCUCACAUCAAAUGACUCAUGCUUUUGUGGAGCUGCUUAUCUUCUUGCUUCUCUUGAUAUAGUGAUCACACGUCCACUAUUUGACCUAAUUGGGACUUGCCUUUCGAUCGAUGACCAAGUUGUUCUUGUGAUUCUCAAAAUAAUUGCCUUAACUUGUCACCAAAUGUCUCAGCACUCUAUCUAUUGUCUCAUAUGCUCUCUUUUUCUAACUUUAACCCUCUGAUUCAAUGUUCAUGCUUAAACUGGAUUUUAAGAUCUGGCUGAAACUUUCACUAGCAUGUCAUAUCACUAGAGUUAACAUAAAAUGUAUAUGUAAAGAAAACAAACAAACAAACAACACAUAUUUAAAACACAAAGAAAAAUAAGACACUUCAUUUAGUCGAAACAAAAGAUAGAAGGGUUUGAACAUAAUCAACAAAAGGACAAAACAAGAUAGAUCCCGAACUACAAACCUGAAAUAAUUCAGACAACAGAAAAAUAAAACAAAACAAGCUACUAGACCCCUUCCUGGUAAGGAGAUGGGUGAUUUCUCAAUUGCUCAGCCUGACAAAUUAGCCACUGAUUGGCAUAUCAGAGUGACUAGAGCUUCCCUCACUUUUCAGGUUUUGCACCAUAAUUGAUCCAUCUUGAAUCAUCUUUUCAAUUUCUCUUUUCAAAUCUAGACAAUCUUCAAUACUAUGACCCUGAGCAUCAGAAUGAUACGCACAACAUGCAUUAGGAUCAAAAUUUCUUGAACGCCGAUUAAGAGUGUGCCCAAGGAGAGGAGUAAUCAUGCCCCUAUGUCUCAAUCUCUGGAACAGACACGCAUAAGAUUCCCCAAUAGGAGUAAAAUUAUCAUUUUCCUUUCUCAUCAUUGCGAACUCUGGCCUUGGAUGAAACGUGGAUUUAGAGGUUCCUUGGUAAAUUUGUGGGGGUUGAGGAUAAUGUUGAGGGACAGGUGCAUACAUACCAUUGUGGAUAAGAAGACGGAUGGGUAAACAAUUGUGCAUUAUUCAAAGGACAUUGAGGAAGUGGAAUGNNNNNNNNNNNNNNNNNNNNNNNNNNNNNNNNNNNNNNNNNNNNNNNNNNNNNNNNNNNNNNNNNNNNNNNNNNNNNNNNNNNNNNNNNNNNNNNNNNNNNNNNNNNNNNNNNNNNNNNNNNNNNNNNNNNNNNNNNNNNNNNNNNNNNNNNNNNNNNNNNNNNNNNNNNNNNNNNNNNNNNNNNNNNNNNNNNNNNNNNNNNNNNNNNNNNNNNNNNNNNNNNNNNNNNNNNNNNNNNNNNNNNNNNNNNNNNNNNNNNNNNNNNNNNNNNNNNNNNNNNNNNNNNNNNNNNNNNNNNNNNNNNNNNNNNNNNNNNNNNNNNNNNNNNNNNNNNNNNNNNNNNNNNNNNNNNNNNNNNNNNNNNNNNNNNNNNNNNNNNNNNNNNNNNNNNNNNNNNNNNNNNNNNNNNNNNNNNNNNNNNNNNNNNNNNNNNNNNNNNNNNNNNNNNNNNNNNNNNNNNNNNNNNNNNNNNNNNNNNNNNNNNNNNNNNNNNNNNNNNNNNNNNNNNNNNNNNNNNNNNNNNNNNNNNNNNNNNNNNNNNNNNNNNNNNNNNNNNNNNNNNNNNNNNNNNNNNNNNNNNNNNNNNNNNNNNNNNNNNNNNNNNNNNNNNNNNNNNNNNNNNNNNNNNNNNNNNNNNNNNNNNNNNNNNNNNNNNNNNNNNNNNNNNNNNNNNNNNNNNNNNNNNNNNNNNNNNNNNNNNNNNNNNNNNNNNNNNNNNNNNNNNNNNNNNNNNNNNNNNNNNNNNNNNNNNNNNNNNNNNNNNNNNNNNNNNNNNNNNUGAACAAGAGGUAACAAAUAUGUUAGAGUUCAACAUUUUUUCUUCAAAACCUUUUUUUUUUUAGAAAAGAUCACAGAACCCAAGAAGGGCACCUACGUAUCUCACUCUCGAGAGAGGAGAAUCAGGUGUGCAUAGUUCGUGAAGUCUUGCCAAAAUAGCCAAUUAAACUCUUUUUCCUUUUCUUCUUUUACUCUUUUUUUUUUAAACUUUGAGAAGAGAAAAUAACAAAUUGUCAAAAGAAUUGACAAUAAUCUUUUUGAAUUUUUCAACUUUAACAUCUCUAUACAAUAUGAAACCUACGAUUACCAAAGAAAAAUCUUUUUGUAGUUUUCUCUUGAAGAUGUAUAUGAAACACCUACUCUAAAUGAAGAGUGAAUAAUUUUUUUUUUUUUGAAAUAACCCGAACCAACAAUAGGUUGCCUACGUAUCUCGCAUCCCGAAAGAGGAGAAUCAGGGGUGCGUAGUUCGUCCAGAUCGGACAAUUAAUGAUUAAAUAAUAGGCUAGACUCUGCCUUAAGAGAUACGACCAAAGACAGACGAUGAACCAUGUUAAUAAAAUCUUUUGAGUUUUCAUUUUGAUACUUCACAGAAAAAUGACAUCAACAACUAUGAAAGAAAAAUCUUUUUGGUAUUUUCGUUAUACAAAAUGUAAAAAAUUUCUAUUAUACAAAAUGUAAAAAAUUUCUAACAUCUUUUUUUUUUUGCAUUUUUCUUUUAUAAACACAUCUUAUGAAUAAAAAAUCUUUUUGAAGUUUUUGAAUUGUGAAUGCAUGCUAAACGAGACAAAGGAAAAUCUUUUUGAUGUUUUUUGAGAAAAUGAGUGCGAAAGGUAAAAAAGUCCUUUUGAAUUUUGGAAUUGUGAAAAAUAAAAGCCAUAAAAAAAAACUCUAAAAACUACAAAACUUUUUUUUUUCAUUACCCACACACUUUACUUCAAAUGACCAUGUUACCUUCAAAGAUGCAACAUUUAGCACGUAGGGAUGCUUUAGAGACGAUUCUCCUACAAAGGGCCAAGUGGGCCCUGCUAGGUCUUCAAUAUGAUGCACAUAAGCAUAACCCAAAGACUGACCUACGUUGGGGUUCACUAUGGUCGACAGUGGUUGCUUUGCUUUCCACCUACUCCAUAACACCAACGGUUCCCCCCCUAAAAUAAGGGUGACUCAACUAGAGGUCGUGUACAACACGUGUACUACAGACUUGUUGCAGAAAGAAGGCCUGGGGGUUGGGGGUAGACACAUGAUGCCAGAUAUAAAAGCGGUAACAUAUAGGAUAAAUACUGUACAGAAAGAGCAUGAAAACGCACAACAGUGAUAACAAUAACACAAACAAUAAUCACAAACAAUGUUUAUACACCCAUAAUGUCAAACAAAGCCGAUACGACUCCAAAAAUAAGACCGAAUUCUGAAAAGAUCCCCAGCAGAGUAGCCAGAGCUGUCACACCCCUUAUUUAAUCGAAAAAAAGAUUAUGUAUUGGGUUUGAAAGAGUUUUUAUUAUUAAGUGACAAAAGAAAAGGAUUUGUUUUGAAGAAGGAUUGUUUUUACAUUUGAAAUCAGAGUCGCCACUUGGCAUAAUCUGGUGUGCCAAGUCACCAUUGGAAAAUCCUUUUCAAAAUCAUUUGACUCUUUAAACUGGUUUGCGAACAGAGAUUCCAGCUAAGGAAUUCUAUUGACCGAGGGGAAGGUGUUAGACAUCCUUCGAUCCCGUGGUUUGACCACGGUCGCUUGGUGGAGCGUAUCGGUUAAUUUUGACACUAUGAGUGUACAACCCACACAAAACACAUAAAACAAUCAAACAAACAAACAAAACAAAAAGAAUCAAUAGUACAGUGUCCAGUCCAAUUUAUAUGUUCAGUCCAAUUAUUACAAUCCAAAAAUAGAAAAAUGCGAAAAAUAUAAAUCCUAUUCUAAGCUAGUCCUAGACUAAGCUCCAAUGUUUCACCCGAUGCCUCGGGCCUUGAUCGAGAUCCGCCUUCGCCAACAUGAUACGUCGGUACAUUCCCCGGUGAAUAAAUACAUCAAUCUUCGGGGCAUUCCCCGGCCAAAUGAAUACACUUCAAUCCAAAAACAUAAACCAACACAUUUCAACAAAACACCCUCAAUAUUCAACGAUCGCAAGUCAUAAACUUUGCCUAACCCACUUAUAUUUGUCUAUCAAUGGUCGACCUAAACAUGAUACUACUAUUUUUCAACAACAUCCAUGCUUAUUCCGAACUGGACUACAUAUCACGUUCAAUGUCAACGAUUAAUUAAAACAACAAUAUUCAUUUUUAUCAACUUUCAAUUCUCGUUUUUCCCAAUUUCAUUGUCAAACUAGUUAACCAAUUCUUCGACUAUCAAAUCCAAUAUCAACCACGUACACACAAAAAAGAUUCAAAUACGCUAACCAAACAAGUUAUUCACACCCAUAACAAACGACUAAAAUUCCAAAAUAGAAUAGAGAAUGAGAUGAGAAAUGGACCUCAAUGCUUUAUUGAUUAACUGAUCUUUCCGAAUAGAACCGCGUCCAACGGAACUCAACGUCGAACCUCAGACCGACGAAACCGCAUCUCGGACUAGCCUCGAUAUGAACCCACAACUUGAACAAAAAUCCAAACUAGAAUCAAAUGCCGACCACCAGAAUCCAAACCCGAUUUCCGGUAGAAAACUGAAGACGCGUACAAAAUCGAACCCCGAUGAGCUACCAACUAGAUUUCAUCCAGAAAACAAGAAGACCGAGAGGAUCUAGGGAAUUUUAGGAUGGAUCAGGCCGAAACGAUAAGCUUGACGUCGAUUUCAGUGAGAUUUCACCGAAAUCCAAAGAGAAACGAUCGAACGAGGAAUGAAAAACUAAUUCCGACGAUCUAAGUCGCCGGAACAGUGACCAACGACUUGAAAUCUUCACUCUCUCUCUUGAUUUUUCACCCUCUCUACUUGAUCUAUCCCUUACCCCACUGUAUCUUGCGAAAAAAAAUGAAGAACAGAAGAAAAGAAAUGGUAUUUUUCUCUUUCUCGUUCUCUCUCUGCUACUCUCUCUCUUAUCGAUCUAUUCUCUUUUCUCUAUGUGUGUGUCUGUGAGAUGCUGUGAGGUGUGUGGUCCUUGUGGGAGUAAUGAUGGGUUUGCGAUGGAGAAGAAAAGGAGAGGAUAAUCUACUCUCAAAAAUGGCAUUUUUGAAGCCAGACCCAGGAAGGAAAAAAAAAU
rnacentral:lncRNA from 1 species